rnacentral:rRNA from 1 species
UUGUAAGUGUCUAAGGGCGCAUGGUGGAUGCCUUGGCAUCGAGAGCCGAUGAAGGACGUGGGAGGCUGCGAUAUGCCUCGGGGAGCUGUCAACCGAGCGUGGAUCCGAGGAUUUCCGAAUGGGGAAACCCAGCACGAGUGAUGUCGUGCUACCCGCAUCUGAAUAUAUAGGGUGCGGGAGGGAACGCGGGGAAGUGAAACAUCUCAGUACCCGUAGGAGGAGAAAACAAUUGUGAUUCCGCAAGUAGUGGCGAGCGAACGCGGAACAGGCUAAACCGCACGCAUGGGUAACCGGGUAGGGGUUGUGUGUGCGGGGUUGUGGGAGGAUAUGUCUCAGCGCUACCCGGCUGAGAGGCAGUCAGAAAGUGUCGUGGUUAGCGGAAGUGGCCUGGGAUGGUCUGCCGUAGACGGUGAGAGCCCGGUACGCGAAAACCCGGCACCUGCCUAGUAUCAAUUCCCGAGUAGCAGCGGGCCCGUGGAAUCCGCUGUGAAUCCGCCGGGACCACCCGGUAAGCCUAAAUACUCCUCGAUGACCGAUAGCGGAUUAGUACCGUGAGGGAAUGGUGAAAAGUACCCCGGGAGGGGAGUGAAAGAGUACCUGAAACCGUGUGCCUACAAUCCGUCAGAGCCUCCUUUUCCUCUCCGGAGGAGGGUGGUGAUGGCGUGCCUUUUGAAGAAUGAGCCUGCGAGUCAGGGACAUGUCGCAAGGUUAACCCGUGUGGGGUAGCCGCAGCGAAAGCGAGUCUGAAUAGGGCGACCCACACGCGCAUACGCGCGUGUGAAUAGUGGCGUGUUCUGGACCCGAAGCGGAGUGAUCUACCCAUGGCCAGGGUGAAGCGCGGGUAAGACCGCGUGGAGGCCCGAACCCACUUAGGUUGAAGACUGAGGGGAUGAGCUGUGGGUAGGGGUGAAAGGCCAAUCAAACUCCGUGAUAGCUGGUUCUCCCCGAAAUGCAUUUAGGUGCAGCGUUGCGUGGUUCACCGCGGAGGUAGAGCUACUGGAUGGCCGAUGGGCCCUACUAGGUUACUGACGUCAGCCAAACUCCGAAUGCCGUGGUGUAAAGCGUGGCAGUGAGACGGCGGGGGAUAAGCUCCGUACGUCGAAAGGGAAACAGCCCAGAUCGCCGGCUAAGGCCCCCAAGCGUGUGCUAAGUGGGAAAGGAUGUGCAGUCGCAAAGACAACCAGGAGGUUGGCUUAGAAGCAGCCACCCUUGAAAGAGUGCGUAAUAGCUCACUGGUCAAGUGAUUGUGCGCCGAUAAUGUAGCGGGGCUCAAGCACACCGCCGAAGCCGCGGCACAUCCACCUUGUGGUGGGUGUGGGUAGGGGAGCGUCCCUCAUUCAGCGAAGCCACCGGGUGACCGGUGGUGGAGGGUGGGGGAGUGAGAAUGCAGGCAUGAGUAGCGACAAGGCAAGUGAGAAC